GGAUAUUGCGACAAUGGGCGAAAGCCUGACGCAGCAACGCCGCGUGCGGGAUGAAGGCCUUCGGGUCGUAAACCGCUUUUCGGGGGGAAGAGGAAGGACGGUACCCCCGGAAUAAGUCUCGGCUAACUACGUGCCAGCAGCCGCGGUAAAACGUAGGAGGCGAGCGUUAUCCGGAUUUACUGGGUGUAAAGCGCGUGCAGGCGGCUUCGUGAGUCGUGCGUGAAAGCUCCUGGCUCAACCGGGAGAGGUCGUGCGAUACUGCGGAGCUGGAGGUAGGUAGAGGCGUGUGGAAUUCCGGGUGUAGUGGUGAAAUGCGUAGAGAUCCGGAGGAACACCAGUGGCGAAGGCGACACGCUGGGCCUGACCUGACGCUAAGACGCGAAAGCAUGGGGAGCGAACGG
rnacentral:rRNA from 1 species